rnacentral:misc_RNA from 1 species
AAGUCGUAACAAGGUUUCCGUAGGUGAACCUGCGGAAGGAUCAUUAAAAAAUGACAAAGAGACAAAGACUAAGUUGUAUUUUACAUCUGUAAUUUACAAUGAAGAAUUUGUCGGUCGCUUGGGUUUAUCCCUUGCACUGACCUUUGUGAACUGUAAAGUUUUUUACAAACUAAGUCUUACUUAAAUCUCAGCCUGAAGUAAAUAAUCUAAAAUAAAUUAUAUACAACUUUCAACAACGGAUCUCUUGGCUCCU